AGCGAACGCUGGCGGUAGGCCUAACACAUGCAAGUCGAACGGACUCAUCGUAGUUGGUUGCUGACGGGGGUGUCGCGCGUGGGAACGGGCCGUUAGACUCGGAAUAACACAGGGAAACGGGUGCUAAUGCCGAGAAAGUCCUGCGGGGGAAAGAUUUAUCGUAUUUAUAGAGGCCCGCGACCGUUUAGCUAGGUGGUGAGGUAAAAGCGGAUGAAGGCGACGCUCAGUAGCGGGUCUGAGAGGCUCAUCAGCCACACUGGGACUGGGACACGGCCCAAACUCCUACGCGAGGCAGCAGUGGGGAAUCUUGCGAAAUGGGCGAAAGGCUGACGCAGCCAUGCUGCGUGAAUGAUGAAGGUCUGAGGAUUGUAAAAUUCUUUCACCGGGGACGAUAAUGACGGUACCCGGAGAAGAAGCCCCGGCUAACUUCGUG
rnacentral:rRNA from 1 species